rnacentral:rRNA from 1 species
AGCAGCCGCGGUAAUUCCAGCUCCAAUAGCGUAUAUUAAAGUUGUUGCAGUUAAAAAGCUCGUAGUUGAAUUUCGGGAUUGGCAUAUCGGUCGUGUCUCCGGACAUGUACUGGUAAUGUUAAUCUCCACCUUCUAGUGAACUAUUAUGCCUUUCACUAGGUGUAGUAGGGAGCUAGGACUGUUACUUUGAAAAAAUUAGAGUGUUUAAAGCAGGCUUUAUGCUUGAAUAGAUUAGCAUGGAAUAACGAAAUAGGACGGCAUGAUUCUAUUUUGUUGGUUUCUAGGAUCACCGUAAUGAUUAAUAGGGAUAGUUGGGGGCAUUAGUAUUCAAUUGUCAGAGGUGAAAUUCUUGGAUUUAUUGAAGACUGACUACUGCGAAAGCAUUUGCCAAGGAUGUUCUCAUUAAUCAAGAACGAAAGUUAGGGGAUCGAAGACGAUCAGAUACCGUCGUAGUCUUAACCAUAAACUAUGCCGACUAGGAAUCAGACUCAGUUUAUUUUUUUAAUGUACGU